rnacentral:rRNA from 1 species
UGAGGAAUAUUGGUCAAUGGGCGAGAGCCUGAACCAGCCAAGUAGCGUGCAGGACGACGGCCCUAUGGGUUGUAAACUGCUUUUAUAAGGGAAUAAAGUGGGUCACGUGUGACUUUUUGCAUGUACCUUAUGAAUAAGGACCGGCUAAUUCCGUGCCAGCAGCCGCGGUAAUACGGAAGGUCCGGCGUUAUCCGGAUUUAUUGGGUUUAAAGGGAGCGUAGGCCGUUUUUUAAGCGUGUUGUGAAAUGCCGCGGCUCAACCGUGGCACUGCAGCGCGAACUGGAUGACUUGAGUGCGCGGGAGGUAGGCGGAAUUCGUGGUGUAGCGGUGAAAUGCUUAGAUAUCACGAAGAACUCCGAUUGCGAAGGCAGCUUACCGUAGCGUUACUGACGCUGA